AAAAAAAGAAGAAUAUUUAGCAGAGAAAAUACCAGCAAACACUGUCAUGCCAUGGAUAUGCAGACAACUUGAUUGACGAAUUCCUAACUCGUCAUAAAUCAAUUCCUGAAUCUGCACCAUUGAUGAGGAGAAUAGUGAUUUGGACAUAAGACAUUCAAUCGACAGAGCUCACAAUGAGGAUCUCGGGAAGAAAAUAAGGAAAUUUGGAGAAACCUUUGCACAGAAAACAGCGAUGAAAACAGCGUGCAAUGGAUAUAAUGUCAUGUAGAGUUUGAAAGAAAAAGUAUUUAAAAAAUCUUGCACAUGUGGAGAGAACUGUCUAGGUCAUGACAAUUCAAAAGAAGUACAAAAUUCCAUCUUGACUACCAAUGAAUUAUCAAAAGAUAGAGAUAUGAUUAUUAUUGGUAAACUUUCAGAGUUUUGGCAGCAGUAUACAGUCCCCCCCCCCCACGGUUUUUGCAGGACCACAAUGGAAACUAGCUAUAUGCUAAUUUGUGUCAUCCUGGAUAAAUAAAGGCUAUUAUUACAGUGUGAAGUCUUUUUCGGGUCAUAGAUGUUGUGGAAAGUCCAACAUCUUCAUCAUAAUUAUACACUAAUGAUACAGACGAAUAUUCUUGUAUUUCUUUAAAACUAUAGUUUGAGUUUUCUUUUAUUUGAGCAAUCAAAAUUUUAGUAAAAUCUCAACCUUAAGUCGAAGUUUCGACAUAAUAUGGAAGUUUUCUUCGAGAAAUCCAGGUGAAAUUUCAUGAAAGUGGUAUGACUGAAAGACAUUUACCAUUACCUUGAAUUCUGCUUCUGAAUCAUGGCCGUCAAAGGCAUACGAAAAA